rnacentral:rRNA from 1 species
AUUGAACGCUGGCGGCAGGCCUAACACAUGCAAGUCGAACGGUAACAGGAAGAAGCUUGCUUCUUUGCUGACGAGUGGCGGACGGGUGAGUAAUGUCUGGGAAACUGCCUGAUGGAGGGGGAUAACUACUGGAAACGGUAGCUAAUACCGCAUAACGUCGCAAGCCCAAAGAGGGGGACCUUCGGGCCUCUUGCCAUCGGAUGUGCCCAGAUGGGAUUAGCUAGUAGGUGGGGUAACGGCUCACCUAGGCGACGAUCCCUAGCUGGUCUGAGAGGAUGACCAGCCACACUGGAACUGAGACACGGUCCAGACUCCUACGGGAGGCAGCAGUGGGGAAUAUUGCACAAUGGGCGCAAGCCUGAUGCAGCCAUGCCGCGUGUAUGAAGAAGGCCUUCGGGUUGUAAAGUACUUUCAGCGGGGAGGAAGGGAGUAAAGUUAAUACCUUGGCUCAUUGACGUUACCCGCAGAAGAAGCGCCGGCUAACUCCGUG